GAGAAAUUAUUUUAUUUAAAAAUAUUAAUCUGUCAGAUUUAAGUUACCACAUAGAGGUAUUUCUCU
rnacentral:tRNA from 1 species